AUUGAACGCUGGCGGCAGGCCUAACACAUGCAAGUCGAACGGUAACAGGGAUCAGCUUGCUGAUUCGCUGACGAGUGGCGGACGGGUGAGUAAUGUCUGGGAAACUGCCUGAUGGAGGGGGAUAACUACUGGAAACGGUAGCUAAUACCGCAUAACGUCGCAAGACCAAAGAGGGGGACCUUCGGGCCUCUUGCCAUCGGAUGCGCCCAGAUGGGAUUAGAUUGUAGGUGGGGUAACGGCUCACCUAGGCGACGAUCCCUAGCUGGUCUGAGAGGAUGACCAGCCACACUGGAACUGAGACACGGUCCAGACUCCUACGGGAGGCAGCAGUGGGGAAUAUUGCACAAUGGGCGCAAGCCUGAUGCAGCCAUGCCGCGUGUAUGAAGAAGGCCUUCGGGUUGUAAAGUACGUUCAGCGGGGAGGAAGGGAGUAAAGUUAAUACCUUUGCUCAUUGACGUUACCCGCAGAAGAAGCACCGGCUAACUCCGUG
rnacentral:rRNA from 1 species